rnacentral:rRNA from 1 species
AUAGCCUGCCAAAGAAGGUGAAAGCCCUGUAGAUGUAAAAGAUUAAAGAUUUAUAGUUGAUAUUCUUGAGUAAUACUGGACUCGUGAAAUCCAGUAUGAAGUUAGGCGGACUGUCGUCUAAGGCUAAAUAUUUUUGAAGACCGAUAGUGAACUAGUACCGUGAGGGAAAGGUGAAAAGUAGCCCGGAAGGGCGGUGAAAAGUACCUGAAACUUUAGGCUAUCAUAGACUCGGAGCUUCGAUGUAAAAGUCGGAGUGACGGGGUUCCUAUUGAAGAAUGAACCAACGACUUCGAGCAUAUAGUUUGACUAAGUUCUACGGAAUGGAGUCAAAGCGAAAGCGAGUGUUAAAAGCGCGUUCUCUGUCUAAGACAGAGGGGAUUAUAUGCUUGAGACCCGAAACUGGGUGAGCUACUCAUGGCUAGGGUGAACUCCGACGAAGGUCGGAGGGAGGCCCGAACCAGUUAGUGGUGCAAAACUAUUGGAUAAGCUGUGAGUAGGAGUGAAAAGCUAAUCGAACCCAGAGAUAGCUGGUUCUCCCCGAAAUAGCUUUAGAGCUAGCCUGCUUGAUUGGAUGUUUAGCGGUAGAGCACUAAAUAAAUUAAGAUGGGGCGACCCACUUGAUUUAAUUAAACUCCGAAUGGCUAAUCAUCUUUACAAGUGGAGUCAGACCGUGGGGGCUAAGCUUCAUUGGUCAAAAGGGAAACAGCCCUGAUCUCCAUCUAAGGUCCCUAAAUCCAAGUUAAGUGUGAAAAGUGGUGAGACGACUGAAACAACCAGGAGGUUGGCUUAGAAGCAGCCAUCCUUUAAAGAAAGCGUAACAGCUCACUGGUCAAUGUUGUCUUGCGCUGAAAAUUUAUCGGGGCUAAACUUGGUACCGAAGAUGAGAAUGCUGUUGCUUUGCAACAGCGUGGUAGGGGAGCGUUCCGACAGCGGUGAAGUCAAAUCGUAAGAUUUGGUGGAGCGGUCGGGAGUGAGAAUGUUGGUAUAAGUAGUAAAAAGGCCGAUGAGAAUUCGGCCCACCGAAAGUCCAAGAUUUCCUGGGCACUGAUUAUCAACCCAGGGUUAGGCGGUCCUAAGGGGAAGCCGAAAGGCGUACUUAAUGGACAAGCAGUUAAUAUUCUGCUUCUAAUAUUAGUUUCCGAAGGAGUAACGUUUCGUUAAACUUGGAGCAUGCAUUGGUUUCGUGUUUAAAGAGAAAAUGGGUCUCUAGGAAAAUCCGGAGAUAAAAAGUUUUCUCUGAAUAAAAUUUUCGCAAGAAGAGAUUCCAGGGGCGAUGGAACCAAGAAAAACUUCUAGGGCUAAACUAAUAUUAACCGUAUCGCAAACCGACACUGGUGGACAGGGUGAGAAACCUAAGGUGUACGAGUGAUCCCUUGUUAAGGAACUCGGCAAAAAAGUGUUCGUAACUUCGGAAUAAGGACUGGUCCGAUGAAUAAUCGGACUCGCAGCGAAAGUUGCCAAACGACUGUUUAACAAAAACACAGGUCCCUGCUUAAACUGUAAAGUGAUGUAUAGGGGCUGAUGCCUGGCCAGUACUAGAACGUUAAAAGGAGGAGUGACCGAGCACAUAAUUUAUUUAUGUGCUUGGAGGCUCUGAAUUGAAGCGCUAGUGAACGCCGGCGGUAACUAUAACCGUAGAUCUUUGUUACCUCUACACUUUUUAGUGUAGUUUAAAAGAUAGGGCGGUUAAAAAAUUCGACCAUAUGCUGGAACCCUUAAACGCUUAGACUACCGGGUAGGUGAAAAUGUCUAAGUUAUAGGUAAUCAGCAGGAAAGGCUCUGAAUAAAUAAAAACAAUAAUUAUGGAGCAAAAAAAGAUUUAUUAUCAUCUGAAGCAAUUAAAAAGGGAAUAUCUAAAUUGGUAUAUAGUUGGUUUUGUUGACGGAGAAGGAUCGUUUAGCGUCUCAAUUACCAAACAUCCAGAUGCGAGAUUUGGCUGGAUGAUCGAUCCAGUUUUUCAGAUCUAUCAACAUGAAAAUCAUCGAGAAGUUUUAGAACUAAUUAGAGAAGUUCUAAAAACAGGAACAAUCAGAUUCAAAUCAAAAGAAAAAUCUAAUACACUUGAUUUCUCUGUCGAAAAUUUCCGUUCUCUCAAAGAAAAAAUCAUCCCCUUUUUUAAGAGAUACCAAUUGAUUGUUAAAAAUGAUGAUUUCAAAAAAUUUUGCCAGAUUAUUGAAUUAAUGGACAAGAAAGCGCAUUAUACUAUUGAAGGAUUCAAAAAGAUUAUUAGAAUCGCUCAUUUAAUGAAUCAGCAAGGCAAGCAGAGAAUCUAUUCAGAAGAAUAUAUUUUUGAGAGAAUGGAGAAUAAGUUAAAAAAUAAAUUAUUCAGAGAAUCCUCAGAGACUAAUACGUCGAAUCCCGUAAUUUACGGGAAUGAUAUAGUCCAGACACGUUAGUGAUAGCGUGAAAUAAAAGCCUAAGGUAACGUAAUCCCUUGCCGGGUAAGUUCCGGCCUGCAUGAAUGGCAUAACGAUUUGGCAACUGUCUCAACAAGGGGCUCGACGAAAUUGCAGUGGGCGUGAAGAUGCGCUUAAUCCACGGUUAGACGAAAAGACCCCGUGAAGCUUUACUGUAGCUUGAUAUUGGAUUAGAAGAAGAACUAGUUCAGCGUAGGUGG